rnacentral:rRNA from 1 species
ACGGGUGAGUAACACGUGGGAACGUGCCCUCCGGUCUGGGAUAACCCUGGGAAACUAGGGCUAAUACCGGAUACAUGCUUUGGCAGAAAGGUUUACUGCCGGAGGAUCGGCCCGCGUCUGAUUAGCUAGUUGGUGGGGUAACGGCCUACCAAGGCGACGAUCAGUAGCUGGUCUGAGAGGAUGAUCAGCCACACUGGGACUGAGACACGGCCCAGACUCCUACGGGAGGCAGCAGUGGGGAAUAUUGGACAAUGGGCGCAAGCCUGAUCCAGCCAUGCCGCGUGAGUGAUGACGGCCUUAGGGUUGUAAAGCUCUUUUCUCCGGGACGAUAAUGACGGUACCGGAGGAAUAAGCCCCGGCUAACUUCGUGCCAGCAGCCGCGGUAAUACGAAGGGGGCUAGCGUUGCUCGGAAUCACUGGGCGUAAAGGGCGCGUAGGCGGCGUUUUAAGUCGGGGGUGAAAGCCUGUGGCUCAACCACAGAAUGGCCUUCGAUACUGGGACGCUUGAGUCUGGUAGAGGUUGGUGGAACUGCGAGUGUAGAGGUGAAAUUCGUAGA